UCCAAAAUUUCAAAGAAAUUAUGUGCUUUUCAAUACCUCUUCUGUUGGGUAUGUCAAGUAAUUAAAUUGUGUGUGUGGUAGAACUAAGUAUGUUGCAUCAUUUUGUUGUCUAUUUAUGGUUUUCAGAGAUGAUAAAACUGAUCAAGAGGAAAUCGACUGAAAGCAGAGGAGGGGGGAAACUAUAAUUAAAACUCCAGUUCAGACUGUCCAAACCAUCUUCCAAGAGUUGCAAUUGUUAGAAGACCAAAUGUUGGGACGCAAUGUUGGUCUGGACUCUGGUGCAAAGCUUUAGAUCUCCUAAAGUGACAAAGGAUGGGAUCACUGUAGCAAAGAGCUUUGGGUUCAGAAAUACAUGCUCAAAUUCCUUGAGCUUUCAAAUGAAAAAGAAACACAGAUCAAGUGGACUUCUGAUAGGGAA